UACGUAGGGGGCUAGCGUUGUCCGGAAUCAUUGGGCGUAAAGAGCGUGUGGGCGGCCCGGUAAGUCCGCUGUGAAAGUCGGGGGCUCAACCCUCGAAUGCCGGUGGAUACUGUCGGGCUAGAGUGCGGAAGAGGCGAGUGGAAUUCCUGGUGUAGCGGUGAAAUGCGCAGAUAUCAGGAGGAACACCAAUUGCGAAGGCAGCUCGCUGGGACGUAACUGACGCUGAGGCGCGAAAGCGUGGGGAGCAAACAGG
rnacentral:rRNA from 1 species